rnacentral:rRNA from 1 species
UACGGAGGGUGCGAGCGUUGUCCGGAAUUACUGGGCGUAAAGAGCUCGUAGGCGGUUUGUCGCGUCUGCCGUGAAAGUCCGGGGCUCAACUCCGGGCCUGCAGUCGAUACGGGCGGACUUGAGUUCGGCAGGGGAGACUGGAAUUCCUGGUGUAGCGGUGAAAUGCGCAGAUAUCAGGAGGAACACCGGUGGCGAAGGCGGGUCUCUGGGCCGAUACUGACGCUGAGGAGCGAAAGCGUGGGGAGCGAACAGG